UUCAUCUCCCUCUCGUCUCUUGUCCACCGGCGGCAACAGCGGCAAUGGAAGAUGCCGACAGUAGCAGUCCAACUCCACCACCCUUAUCUUUCUCUCUUCCUCACCAUUCUCUCCUCGUCCAAGCUACAAGUAGCCAACAACAAUAAUGAAGACCUCCGGCCAGCAGCAUUCCCCUCCCUUGCGUUGUGUUGGAGUGCCAACCGGCGACUUCCCCUGUUUCAGCAAAGUCUGGCGAGAGCUAUCAGUAGCGGGACGGUGGUCUACCUCCCCUGUUCCCCUUCCCACAAGCAGAGUGCAUCGAAGGUAGUGGCGGGCAGCGGCAAUGGGUUCCCUACCCUAUCCGGUGCGAGAAGCUUGCAGCAGCAACGUUUUCGGCGGCGGCACAACGGCAGCAAUGCCGUGACUGCGGUGAGCAAUUCGGUGAUCCAUCUUCGGCCAUUUCUCUUCUCCGGCGAAGCAAAGUACGGAUGGCAGCGCUGGAUGCUCCGGUCUUCAUCUCCUCUCGGCAGUUGACGGCGACACUUCUCUUCUCUCCGGCGAGGCGCAAUGCGGUUCGGCGUGGCAUGGGCGUGAACGCCGUGAAGCAGAUGCUAGCAAUGGAUUUAGUUUAUAUUAAGGUUCAUAAUUGUGGACUUAGCUUAUGAGUUGAGCUUAGAGUUGGUGAUUGCUUUUGGAUUGUUAAAGCUUCAAGAGGUAUGAAGUAGAUUGAGCCGAGAGCGCGCUAGUGAUAAAUCUGCUUCGUUCUAUGCUUAGUCUAGUGGAUUGUUAGACGUUUCCAGGCCUGUGUGCCUUAGACAAUGUUUUCUGUAUUGACUAUUACAGCUAUCUUUACUUUAUGGAUUAGUCUUGUGGAUUCUUAGCUUGUGCAUCUAGGGUUGGAUUUACCUAGAUGUGGCAUGACACCCGUUUGAGUAUUAGUAUGCUUCCACUUUA